GAUGAACGCUGGCGGCGUGCCUAAUACAUGCAAGUCGAGCGGACGGACGAUAAGCUUGCUUCGCUGAUGUGAGCGGCGCACGGGGGAGAAACAUGUGGAUAACCUACCUAUAAGACGGGGAUAACCUCGGGAAACGGGAGCUUAUACCGGAUGAUAUCCUGAACCGCAUGGUGGAGAAGUGAAAGACGGCCUUGCUGUCACGUAUAGAUGGAUCCGCGCUGCAUUAGCUAGUUGGUAAGGUAACGGCUUACCAAGGCAACGAUUCGUAGCCGACCUGAGAGGAUGAUCGGCCACACUGGAACUGAGACACGGUCCAGACUCCUACGGGAGGCAGCAGUAGGGAAUCUUGCGCAAUGGGCGAAAGCCUGACGCAGCAACGCCGCGUGUGUGAUGAAGGUCUUCGGGUCGUAAAGCUCUGUUAUUAGGGAAGAACAGAUGUGGAAGUAGAUGUGCAGAUCUUGACGGUACCGGAUCAGAAAGCAACGGCUAACUACGUG
rnacentral:rRNA from 1 species